rnacentral:tRNA from 1 species
UGGGAUGUAUCUCCGUGGUAGAGUACCUGCUUAGCAUGCAUGAGUUCCUGGAUUCAAACCUCAGUAUCUCAA